rnacentral:rRNA from 1 species
UUGCUCUUCGACGUUAGCGGCGGACGGGUGAGUAACACGUGGGCAACCUACCUUAUAGUUUGGGAUAACUCCGGGAAACCGGGGCUAAUACCGAAUAAUCUAUUUCACUUCAUGGUGAAAUACUGAAAGACGGUUUCGGCUGUCGCUAUAAGAUGGGCCCGCGGCGCAUUAGCUAGUUGGUGAGGUAACGGCUCACCAAGGCGACGAUGCGUAGCCGACCUGAGAGGGUGAUCGGCCACACUGGGACUGAGACACGGCCCAGACUCCUACGGGAGGCAGCAGUAGGGAAUCUUCCACAAUGGGCGAAAGCCUGAUGGAGCAACGCCGCGUGAGUGAAGAAGGUUUUCGGAUCGUAAAACUCUGUUGUAAGGGAAGAACAAGUACAAUAAUAACUGGCUGUACCUUGACCGUACCUUAUUAGAAAGCCACGGCUAACUACCUUCCAGCAGCCGCGGUAAUACGUAAGUGGUAAGCGUUGUCCGGAAUUAUUGGGCGUAAAACGCGCGCACGCGGUCCUUUAAGUCUGAUGUGAAAGCCCACGGCUCAACCCUGGAGGGUCAAUCGAAACUGGGGGACUUGAGUGCAAAAGAGGAAAGUGGAAUUCCAAGUGUAGCGGUGAAAUGCGUACAGAUUUGGAAGAACACCACUGGCGAACGCAACUUUCUGGUCUGUAACUGACGAUAAAGCCCGAAAG